AGCGAACGCUGGCGGCAGGCUUAACACAUGCAAGUCGAGCGGGCAUCCUUGUGGUGUCAGCGUCUGACGGGUGAGUCACGCGUGUGAACGUGCCCUUCGUUUCGUAAUAACUCAGCGAAACUUGAUCUAAUACCGGAUACGCCCUUUUGGGUAAAGGUUUACUGCCCAAGGAUCGGACUGCGUCUGAUUAGCUAGUUUGUGUGGUUAUGGCUCCCCAACGCGACGAUCAGUAGCUGGUCUGAGAGGAUGAGCAGACACACUGGGACUGAGACACGGCACAGAAUCCUACGGGAGGCAGGAGUGGGGAAUAGUGGAAAAUGGGGGCAACCAUGAUCCAGCCAUGCCGGGUGAGUGAUGACGGCCUUAGGGUUGUAAAGCUCUUUUCUCCGGGAAGAUAAUGACGGUACCGGAGGAAUAAGCCCCGGCUAACUUCGUG
rnacentral:rRNA from 1 species